rnacentral:rRNA from 2 species
GUCCGCAACGAGCGCAACCCUUGUCCUUAGUUGCCAGCACGUAAUGGUGGGAACUCUAAGGGGACUGCCGGUGAUAAACCGGAGGAAGGUGGGGAUGACGUCAAGUCAUCAUGGCCCUUAUGGGCUGGGCUACACACGUGCUACAAUGGUCGGUACAGAGGGUCGCGAACCCGCGAGGGGAAGCCAAUCCCAGAAAGCCGAUCUUAGUCCGGAUCGCAGGCUGCAACUCGACUGCGUGAAGUCGGAAUCGCUAGUAAUCGCGAAUCAGCAAUGUCGCGGUGAAUACGUUCCCGGGCCUUGUACACACCGCCCGUCACACCAU